rnacentral:snRNA from 1 species
GGCUAUGAGGGCCAUCUGACUGUAAUGUCUUGUCAUCCCAUUGAUCCCUAGGGUUGACUCAGCUGAUCUAGAUGGGUAGGCAGGUUUCCUCUCCUCUCUCACUGAGCUGUGUUUGCCCAUCCUGAAGCUUAAUGCUUGGAUGAUUGAAGAUGAUGAGGACAAGUGUUUACUCAAAGACAUAGAGGAGCUGUGCUCCCCUGCUAGAAGCCUCCCAAUAAGCUCUCAAAGAUAGCUAUUUUUUUCCAUUUUUAUUAGGUAUUUGGCUCAUUUACAUUUCCAAUGCUAUACCAAAAGUCCCCCAUACCCAUCCACCCCAAAGAUAGCUAUU